rnacentral:rRNA from 1 species
AACGGCAGCACGGCAGUAGCAAUACUGUGGGUGGCGAGUGGCGGACGGGUGAGGAAUACGUCGGAAUCUGCCCAGUCGUGGGGGAUAACUAGCCGAGAGGUUAGCUAAUACCGCAUACGACCGAGAGGUGAAAGCGGGGGACCGCAAGGCCUCGCGCGAUUGGAUGAGCCGACGUCGGAUUAGCUAGUUGGUAGGGUAAAGGCCUACCAAGGCGACGAUCCGUAGCUGGUCUGAGAGGAUGAUCAGCCACACUGGAACUGAGACACGGUCCAGACUCCUACGGGAGGCAGCAGUGGGGAAUAUUGGACAAUGGGCGCAAGCCUGAUCCAGCAAUGCCGCGUGUGUGAAGAAGGCCUUCGGGUUGUAAAGCACUUUUAUCAGGAACGAAAAGCGUGGGGCUAAUACCUUUACGUGCUGACGGUACCUGAGGAAUAAGCACCGGCUAACUUCGUGCCAGCAGCCGCGGUAAUACGAAGGGUGCAAGCGUUAAUCGGAAUUACUGGGCGUAAAGCGUGCGUAGAUGGUUUGUUAAGUCGAAUGUGAAAGCCCCGGGCUCAACCUGGGAACUGCAUCCGAAACUGGCAGACUAGAGUGUGGUAGAGGAUGGCGGAAUUCCCGGUGUAGCGGUGAAAUGCGUAGAGAUCGGGAGGAACAUCCGUGGCGAAGGCGGCCAUCUGGACCAACACUGACGUUGAGGCAC